AAGCUUGUUAGGGUUUUUGAAAGGUUUUGAAGGAGUCAAAGCUUAUAGGAAGGUCCAAACCUUAAGCAAGAACACCAAAGAGUAUUGGCUAAGCAUAACUGGACUGAACGUUGGAGGGUGAAAACCUGCUGAGCGCUAAGGACUCCAAGUAAGAACAAGGGCAAGGCAGAGCAGUGAGCGCUGGAGUCUUCCUUGCAAAUGUACAUGUGGACCGACCUUUUGGGAAGCCUUUUUAUUUUUGGAAAUGUUGUGUAAUUUUCCUAAACUAGGCUCACUCUAAUCUUUAUAAAACAUGUUUGUAACUAAAUGUUAAG